AAGCCAGUCAACGAAUCAGCUUAUCUGAAUGCAUUUCUGCAGAAAUUUUUGAAAAGCUGGCCAUAGUAAAUCUAUGUUAUGAAACCUUAAGAACAUCAAAGUCCCUGAAAAUGGUUUUAACA
rnacentral:snoRNA from 1 species